CUGGAAAAAGCAAGGUUAGAACAGAAACAUAAAUAGUGAGAGAGAGAGUCGACCCUGCAGAGACCUGGGAGGAGUAUUUAAGCAAGUCCAAAUCUCUAAAAUGAGAAUGAGAUAGGGCAUGAGACCAUGUGAGGGAUGGAGUUUUCUCAACGUGGAUGUUGGUAUUUUACUCGGGGUGGAACUUUCCACCUCCAACCUGGAGCCUUUAGAAGUCUUUUAAAAGCCACGAUCACUGAGGCUUUAGUGCACUCAAUUCUUCUCUCCUAGUUUUGAGAAACAGGACACCUAACAGCCAUUAUGCAAUGCCAUGAAUGCCAGCAAGGAAGCAGAGAUCAGGGCUCAGCCAGACCAUCCAGAUUCGUCUUUGGCUUCCUCCAGGACAAUGUGGAAAUUCUACUCUAUUAAAAAAUGUUUUCUUUAGAUAUAUAUUUUUAAGAAUAUGUCUUCUCAAGUUUUUAUUUUUAAUUUAAAAAAAUGUGUAUGAGUGUUUUGUCUGCAUGUAUGAUUGUGAACCACUUGUGUGCCUGGUGCCCACAGAGCCUGGAGGAAGGAAUGGGAUCCUCUGGGACUGGAGUUAUGGAUGGUUGUGAACCUCCAUGUGGGUGCUAGGAAUUGAAUUCCUGUCCUCUGUAAGAGCAACAAGCAUCCAACCACUUCGCUGUCUCUCUAGCCCAGGUGUAUCCGUGUGUAUGAAGUCAUAGGGCAAGCUCAUGGUUUUG
rnacentral:lncRNA from 1 species